CAGUAGUCAAAAUUUUUACGACCAUGUUUCAGUGAUUUACAUCACUAAAUGCGUGGUACACAUCAUUUAAUCCAGAUCCGAAGCUGUAUCUGGGAUUUAGCUUCCACGUAACCCAGAGUCCUAAAUUCCAGAAAAUCUGAAGUUGUAUAUGAACAGGAAUGUUUCCUGUAAUGCUCCUUGGUGUUCAAGGGAAGUACCUUUCGUAGCACCAGAGCAGCCUUGGAAUUUUUCUUCAGUCAGCUUGUGUGCUGGCCCGAACAUCUCCUGUGUGGUGAGAGGCCGUACGUGUGGAACGCUGAUGAGCUGUAGCAGAUCAAUGGACUCGUCUGUGCGGAAGGAGAUCCGGGUGCCUCUGCAAAACUCCCUCUCUGCUGGAGGCAAAUGAAUGAGAUGAAGCCAGACUGACUCGGGACAGUUCAUCAUGUGGUCUGGAGCGUUUCUUGGAUGCUCCAGAAUUAUGGACAAAGCAUAAUUCUACAUUAUCACAGUGGAGACAAUCAGAAGUGGCAGACUGAAAGAAAUCAUACAUGACCACUGUGAGUAAUACUGUUUUAGGCUAAACUUUCAUUUAGCUCUAUACAACUGAAGCUGAUGCUCCCAUACAGAGCAAACAUUAUGACAUUUAAAAAACCAUGCAUCUUGCCAAGUGAUACAGCUUUUAAUCUUCUGUUUUAUGCUCUAGUGCGUUUAUUUAUUAGGGGAUACUCCAUCAGCUCAGGAAAUGAGUUCUCUUAAAGAUAAUAGCAUUCAGUAAUUAUCACAUCUCUCAUUUCCCUAUGUCAGAGAAGCCAUUUAAAAUGAUGAUCACAUCCAAAUUCCUGCUACAUUGCCUGUAAGAUGUGUAUGACAAGUAAAGAAAAAAAUGUUACUGAAUCAACAUUGCAAUCUUGCUAUGAGGAGCUAAUGAGUUUGCAUUUCAUAGUGAAGUGCAUGCAAGGAAUUCAUAUUUUCAUUGAUUUGAUGUUAUAGGUGGUACACAGUUAAUACUCAGGGAACAACUACAUAAUAUAGUAAAUGCACACAAGAGCACUUCGGUUUUUUCUUCACAGAAGAGCAUUAGGAGGAAGAACAGUCAGAGCAGCAACAACACAGAAACUAAAUGAAAAAUUACAAUUAAUUCAACAAGCUAAAUGGAAAAUAUUUCCUUAUCAAAUUUUUUGUAAAACAGAAUCCAGUAAGGCUUGUCUCAGAUGGUGAGUUUCUGUCAGGUGUUUCUUUAAGUGCUAUGUAUGUGUGAGUAAGUCAUAUCACAAAUGUUCAAAGGCAAGUUAGGAAACUAAAUGACAUUGCAUAUAGGCAGCAGUUCAUUUCAGUUGGUGUGGUGGUUGAAGAAAAUAUGCCUGGAAACAUUUUGGCACAAUAGCUUUUUUUUUUUUCCUUACAACAUAACACUGAAAUACGGGUGUAGACUUACCCCCAGGUCACUGCAACGAAGAGGAAAUUUUAUAUUCUCUUCCUUCCAUUCUUUUUAACUACUGAAGAGUACAAUUGCCUCAGUAGUAUUAACAAAUUAAUCUACCAGAGUGGGGGAUUUUUUGCAAUUACUCAAGUUUUUAUGUGAGAAUGCAUUGGAUGUUUUAAAGAGUUUUUAUGUUGAAAGAAAAUACAGCAGGUUGUUAAGACUGAAAGAAAAUCAUUUCAGUAAAGUUGUGCUAAUAAACUGAUAAUAAACACUAAUGAACUGAUAAUGCUACUUAACUGCUGAGCAUCUGGUUGAAACAGCUCUGAAACUAUAAGCAAUUUGGUUGUUGAUGCUGUAUUCAGCAUUUUUAACUGAUGAAUAAACAUCUGACAGCCAUGUUGAUUGCAGUCAUCACUCUUCUGGAAAUACCAAGUUUAAUGAGCACAAUAGAACAAAACAACACCCGAUAAUUGUAAACAGUCUCCCUGUAGGCAAAUGGUUGUUCAUAAUAUCAAACCAGAACUUCACCUUCAGCUCAGGUCAAAAGUUGGUUAAAUACCACAUGUCCUUUUGGAGUGUUAGGCUUCUGUAACCAUGUGUGAGAUUACCCCUAAAACACCUACACAUAUGAAUGCACAUCAUGGGUAGGGACAAGUGGAGAGCUGAGGAUGGCCAAUGUGUUGUCCCACCCUCUGAAUACAGGUGUGCUAAUUUUGCAUUGCAGAGAAGCAGUGGAUUCCCCAUCAUUCCCCUCCAUGCCAGGAGGACUUCUCUAAUUCUGCGUGGGGCUCUGAGAACAAUUGCUGUUUUGGGGGUUGUGGCCUUUGAUGUCAAAUAAUUCAAGUUGUAGGUUUUGCUUCAGUUGGCGCAUGAUGUUUUCCCUGAGGUUCAGUAAUGCGAACUGGAAUGUUUAUUGUCACACAGACUAAGAAGUAGUCUAUGGUUUGCCUGUGGGAGCCCUUCUCUAACUAACUCAUAUAGUUCUGACCUACCCAUUGAGACAGUUUCAAAGAUUAAGGCAGGCAGCUCCUAAGGCUGAGAAAGAAAAUUACUAUUCUUCAACUGAGCAGGACGUAAAAUAGCAAUUAAAAGAACUAAUGUGAUGGUGAUAAAAGUAUGGGAGGUGCACUUUUAUCCUAUAAAGUACUCCUUAAAAUUUAACACUUUCUCUCUGUGUUCUUGAUACCCUAAAAACUCAUCCUCCCCUUUCAGGACAAAAAUGUUGUAGGAGCAGAGUUCACUGGUGUGAUGCAUUAAUCUCCUACUCAUCUCAGUCAUAGAUGCCAGAGCAGCAUAGAGUUAAAGCCUCAAUGAGAAAGGGAAAUUCAGGUACUUGCUGCAGUCAUUUCUGCACCUCAAACCUCAUGUGUACAUUCUCCUGUACUAACACCACUCACACAGGUCCAAGAUUGUAUCCCUUCGUCGAGCAAAAACUCCUCCUUCAUUACCUAAGAGGAGAUUUGGCUGAACAGGGUCAGAAUCAAGGUCAAGCCUUAUAUACAGAUGGAGGUGGAGAAAGAAACUACUUAACUGCUGAGAUUAAAUGUAAUUAUUUUCUGUAAAAUAACUAAAAUAGCAACUCAAGUGGUUUUGGUUCAUUUCUCUUUUUUACUGAUAGUGACUCAUUUUUUCAGGUGUGAGAAGGAGUUAAAAGCACAGUUUCUCUACAGCAGUGUGGUGUAAGAGUCUGGCAGCUCCAUCCCCUUCUCUGCUUCCUGAACCACCAACCACCACCAGACUUUUCUAAAAAGUAUAAUAAUUUAAGGAAAUUACCUACCUGUGUCUUCUAUCCUGGACUAAUUAUAUUUUUUCAGAAGGAAGAACCAAAAAGACACAAGAUUUAAAAAUUUUUGUAUGAAUAACUACUAUAUGUAUGUGAUUGAAAAUAAAAGCAAGUCUUUAAAACCACAGAAUCAUAGUGUGGACUGCUUCAUGAACUUUCACCUCUCAAGCCCUGCUUUUCAAGAGUAUUAUUAUUAUCAAACACAGUACAGUCAUGUUUGGCAAUUGCCCUCUGGACAACAGUGAAGCAAAUAAAAAAUAUUUUGCCUUGCAAUUUAGAUAUAGUUAGUUUUAGUAUUGUGGUAAUACUCUGGCUUGUGGUGGUAUACAUUUGACAUGAUACAAUAUUUUCAACCACUUCCUUGACAAGAUAAUUGAAGAUUGAAUAAUAUACUGAAGUAGAAAACAA